CACGGAGUUAGCCGGUGCUUCUUCUGCGAGUAACGUCAAUUGCUGCGGUUAUUAACCACGACACCUUCCUCCUCGCUGAAAGUACUUUACAACCCGAAGGCCUUCUUCAUACACGCGGCAUGGCUGCAUCAGGCUUGCGCCCAUUGUGCAAUAUUCCCCA
rnacentral:rRNA from 1 species